GACAGAGGUGCCAAGCGUUAGGCGGAAUCACUGGGCUUAAAGCGUGUGUGGGCGGAUCGUUAAGUGCCUUGUGAAAUCCCACGGCUUAACCGUGGAACUGCUCGGCAUACUGGCGGUCUUGAGCAACCUAGGGGCGAGCGGAACAAAUGGUGGAGCGGUGAAAUGCGUAGAUAUCAUUUGGAACGCCAAUGGUGAAAACAGCUCGCUGGGGGUUUGCUGACGCUGAGACACGAAAGCCAGGGGAGCGAACGGG
rnacentral:rRNA from 1 species